UGAAAAUCACAUGGUGGCUCGCAAC
rnacentral:piRNA from 1 species